rnacentral:rRNA from 1 species
GAUGAACGCUAGCUACAGGCUUAACACAUGCAAGUCGAGAGGAAACGACAUCGAAAGCUUGCUUUUGAUGGGCGUCGACCGGCGCACGGGUGAGUAACGCGUAUCCAACCUGCCCACCACUUGGGGAUAACCUUGCGAAAGUAAGACUAAUACCCAAUGACGUCUCUAGAAGACAUCUGAAAGAGAUUAAAGAUUUAUCGGUGAUGGAUGGGGAUGCGUCUGAUUAGCCUGUUGGCGGGGUAACGGCCCACCAAGGCUACGAUCAGUAGGGGUUCUGAGAGGAAGGUCCCCCACAUUGGAACUGAGACACGGUCCAAACCCCUACGGGAGGCAGCAGUGAGGAAUAUUGGUCAAUGGACGAGAGUCUGAACCAGCCAAGUAGCGUGCAGGAUGACGGCCCUAUGGGUUGUAAACUGCUUUUGUAAGGGAAUAAAGUGAGCCUCGUGAGGCUUUUUGCAUGUACCUUAUGAAUAAGGACCGGCUAAUUCCGUGCCAGCAGCCGCGGUAA